UGGGGAAUAUUGGACAAUGGGCGCAAGCCUGAUCCAGCAAUGCCGCGUGUGUGAAGAAGGCCUUCGGGUUGUAAAGCACUUUUAUCAGGAGCGAAACGCUGUCGGCUAAUACCCGGCGGAACUGACGGUACCUGAGGAAUAAGCACCGGCUAACUUCGUGCCAGCAGCCGCGGUAAUACGAAGGGUGCAAGCGUUAAUCGGAAUUACUGGGCGUAAAGCGUGCGUAGGCGGUUUCUUAAGUCUGCUGUGAAAUCCCCGGGCUCAACCUGGGAAUGGCAGUGGAUACUGGGAGGCUAGAGUGUGUCAGAGGGUGGUGGAAUUCCCGGUGUAGCGGUGAAAUGCGUAGAGAUCGGGAGGAACAUCGGUGGCGAAGGCGGCCACCUGGGACAACACUGACGCUGAGGCACGAAAGCGUGGGGAGCAAACAGGAUUAGAUACCCUGGUAGUCCACGCCCUAAAACGAUGCGAACUGGAUGUUGGUCUCAACUCGGAGAUCAGUGUCGAAGCUAACGCGUUAAGUUCGCCGCCUGGGGAGUACGGUCGCAAGACUGAAACUCAAAUGAAUUGAC
rnacentral:rRNA from 1 species